rnacentral:rRNA from 1 species
AUUGAACGCUGGCGGCAUGCCUUACACAUGCAAGUCGAACGGCAGCACGGGUGCUUGCACCUGGUGGCGAGUGGCGAACGGGUGAGUAAUACAUCGGAACGUACCUUAUCGUGGGGGAUAACGCAGCGAAAGCUGUGCUAAUACCGCAUACGCCCUGAGGGGGAAAGCGGGGGAUCGCAAGACCUCGCGCGAUUAGAGCGGCCGAUGCCUGAUUAGCUUGUUGGUGGGGUAAAAGCCCGCCAAGGCGACGAUCAGUAGCUGGUCUGAGAGGACGAUCAGCCACACUGGGACUGAGACACGGCCCAGACUCCUACGGGAGGCAGCAGUGGGGAAUUUUGGACAAUGGGGGCAACCCUGAUCCAGCAAUGCCGCGUGAGUGAAGAGGGCCUUCGGGUUGUAAAGCUCUUUUGUCAGGGAAGAAACACCGGCUCUAACACAGUCCGGGAAUGACGGUACCUGAAGAAUAAGCACCGGCUAACUACGUGCCAGCCGCCGCCGUAA